UGGGGAAUAUUGCACAAUGGGCGCAAGCCUGAUGCAGCCAUGCCGCGUGUAUGAAGAAGGCCUUCGGGUUGUAAAGUACUUUCAGUCGGGAGGAAGGUGGUAAGGUUAAUAACCUUAUCAAUUGACGUUACCGACAGAAGAAGCACCGGCUAACUCCGUGCCAGCAGCCGCGGUAAUACGGAGGGUGCAAGCGUUAAUCGGAAUUACUGGGCGUAAAGCGCACGCAGGCGGUUGAUUGAGUCAGAUGUGAAAUCCCCGGGCUUAACCCGGGAAUUGCAUCUGAUACUGGUCAGCUAGAGUGUUGUAGAGGGGGGUAGAAUUCCAUGUGUAGCGGUGAAAUGCGUAGAGAUGUGGAGGAAUACCGGUGGCGAAGGCGGCCCCCUGGACGAAGACUGACGCUCAGGUGCGAAAGCGUGGGGAGCAAACAGG
rnacentral:rRNA from 1 species